UUGCUUGCCUCCAGCCUGCUUGAAUCUGGAGUGGUUCUGGGCAUUCCUACAGUGCUUUGCAAGAUCAGCUUUGAAAUGGUCUGAGGCCUUACUUGAUACUGUCUAUAGAACAAGGUUAUAGAAAUUUCACACAGUU
ensembl:snoRNA